GAAAUGCGAUAAGUAAUGUGAAUUGCAGAAUUCAGUGAAUCAUCGAAUCUUUGAACGCACAUUGCGCCCGCCAGUAUUCUGGCGGGCAUGCCUGUUCGAGCGUCAUUUCAACCAUCAAGCCCCCGGGCUUGUGUUGGGGACCUGCGGCUGCCGCAGGCCCCGAAAACAAGUGGCGGGCUCGCUGUCACACCGGGCGUAGUAGAUUUUUCGUCUCGCCCAGGGCGUGCUGCGGGUUCCGGCCGUUAAAAAGCCUCUCUUUUUAACCCAAGGUUGACCUCGGAUCAGGUAGGAAGACCCGCUGAACUUAAGC
rnacentral:misc_RNA from 1 species